GCUGGCGACCAUAGCAAGAGUGAACCACCUGAUCCCUUCCCGAACUCAGAAGUGAAACCUCUUCGCGCUGAUGGUAGUGNGGGUUACCCAUGUGAGAGUAAGUCAUCGCCAGCU
rnacentral:rRNA from 1 species